GCGGGGUUAGUAAGUUAGCACAAGUUGAACCGUGUCUUUUUUUUCCAAUGUUUUUUUUAGUUUUUUUUUAUUUUUGUCAUUUAAAAUUGAGUUGUUUGAUAGUUGGGCUUCAUAGUUUUAUUUAAUUUUUUUGUUGUUGAUGACUUUUUUCUCGUUUUAUUGAAAAAAAUUUAUUAUAAGAAAUAAAGCUACUAGACACAAUUGAAUGCAAGGUCCGUAU
rnacentral:lncRNA from 1 species